CAGAUACUAUGGCAUAAUCUGUUAUUGCCAUAAUGAGUUUGUGCAAAAUGGCGGUUUUCGAUGAUUAUGGCGGUUUAAAACCGCCCUUAUCUGGGGCCAUAAUUUAAAAAUAACCACACAAUAUCUGAUUCCAACCCUAAUUGAAGAACUAACGUGCUGCCGCAUACACUGUUUAUGUAAGGUAACGACGCCUACCACUGGGAUCUACUCCGGCGCGAUCUGCUUCAGUGACAACUUUCUCCACCAAGAAUCUCCUCAGCAGCGUUCUCCUCCGACUAGAAUCUCCUCGCCGUUCACCGCUAUCGUUCAUCUCCUCGCUGCUGCCUUCAAUGAGCUUCUACGAUCUUGUUCUGGUUUCGAUCUAAAGGUUAGCCAUCGCCGCUCAUCUACCUUGCUGCUUCGUUUAUCACCUCGCCGCCGCAAGCAACAUUGUUGCUGCUUUAGCGAGCUUCGACAAAUCUCUUCACUUUUGUGAUUACGUCCUUGCUCUCACUGUCGAUAACUUCCUCAAGCGCCACCUCCAGACUCUCGUCUUCAAUCCCAACAUGGCCAAGUCAAUCCACCACGCCAGGUCCUGAUCCGCUAGCGCCACAUUAGGUUUCUUUCCUACACUAUCUAAUACUUUGUGACUGAUAUUAGAUAGAUGAGAGGUAGGCUUACACUAGAGAAGGUGAAUGCAGCAAUCAAUGACAUGGCAUCCUAUGCUAAAGCAAAUGCUUACACUAGAGAAGUUGAAGCUUUCUGAUGCAUUUAUGGAACUCUUAUCGCAACAACAAUUUCAAUGGAGAGAAGUAAUAAAUCUGAAAGUGAUUAGUGUUGCAUUUGAGAAGGGGAGAGUGAUGUGAAUGACAACCCUAAUCUCUUGUCGCCGUUCAUCUUCCACCUCUCUCAUACAUCUCUUUGCUGCCGCUUGUUGCACCUCAUCUCCUCGCCAGCUUCGCCGCUGCAAACAAUGUCGUUGUUGCUGCCUUGAACGAGUUCUGCAAUUUGGUUGCGCCUUCUCUGUCACUUCCAAUAGGGAUACAAAUACUGUAUCUGAUGCUGUAGAGUUUGUACUCCAAAAUUUCACAUAAAUGAACAAACUUUGGGUGCAGAUGCAAUAUCAGGUUUAGUAAUGCAUGCGAAUCAUUCAUACUCUUAGCUGACCCUGAGUUGAGGCUUGCUGUCGGGCUUUCUGGUCUGCAGGGGCCUACCCGGGAGAAGGAGAAACGGGAGAAAGAAAGGAGUGAGCUGUGCGAUCUUGUAAAGGGUGUUGAUCUUGAUAUGUUGUAAAUUUCAAAGAUGAGUUGGCCCAGUUUUACUUGAUGGAUUGCAUAAUUCAAGUCUUCCCAGAUGAGUAUCACUUGCAAACUCUUGAUGUAUUGUUGGGUGCAUGCCCUCUGCUUCAGCCAUUUGAAUAAGAACCAGCUUUCAGGUGCCGCCAAACUUUUCAGCUCUGACAUGGUGCUCAUACAUGUAUUAUUUGAUGGAAAUAAUUUAUCUGGUUCUAUACCAGAAACAUUAGGACUAGUUCAGACACUUGAGGUUCUCCGACUUGAUAGAAAUUUCCUGACAGGAGAGGUUCCUACAAAUCUUUGUAAGAGAUGAGUUUGGAUAAUGAAGUUGGAGUGUUGGAGCAAGAAACAAAGAUGUUGGAGCAAGUUCCCGGGAUGAAACUUACACAAGAGACCAAGAAACUAAGGCAUGCUUGUUUUAAAGUUAAUUACAAAAGGAGGAAAGUUUUGGCCUCCAAAUCUUAUUCAUCAUCACUUAGCUAAGCUACUUGUCUUGUAUAUUCAUAUUCUAAGUAGUAAAAACAACACUUAUUAGAUGGUUUAAAUACAUUAUUAGAUAUUAACAUAGUUUAGAAAACUGGAUGGUAGAUUUGACUGAUUAGUAUUUAUUGCAGUGCUUGUAUUUUGGUAAGUUUAGUAAGACAAGGUUUUGUAUAGGAGUUAUUACUUUUGAUUUUCAAUAAUAAAAAAUUAUAUAUUAUAG